rnacentral:rRNA from 1 species
UACAGAGGGGGCAAGCGUUGUUCGGAAUUACUGGGCGUAAAGGGCGCGUAGGCGGGUUCGCAAGUCUGUGGUGAAAUCCUCCAGCUUAACUGGAGAAGUGCCGUGGAUACUGCGAAUCUUGAGGAGGGUAGGGGCGUCUGGAACGGUCGGUGGAGCGGUGAAAUGCGUUGAUAUCGACCGGAACUCCGGUGGCGAAGGCGAGGCGCUGGACCCUUUCUGACGCUGAGGCGCGAAAGCCAGGGGAGCAAACGGG